UUAGCCGGAUCCUAAGGCCAGGCCGAAAGGCGUAGUCGAUGGACAACGGGUUAAUAUUCCCGUGCCGCCUUAACGGAGUGACGGAGUGACGCAGUAUGCUAAGCGAGCUGGCUAUAUGCCAGUCUAAUGUCGUAGGACGUCAGGGGUUAAAUGACCUGACAUCAAGUCUGAAAACGGAUGGGACUCGAAGCCUUCGGGUAACGGGGAUUCGCUGAUGCUUUGCUGACGAGAAAAGCUCCUAAACGUUGAUGUUUUGGCGUCCGUACCGUAAACCGACACAGGUGGUCGAGGCGAGUAGCCUAAGGUGCGCGAGUGAAACCACUUCAAGGAACUCGGCAAAUUAGCCCCGUAACUUUGGGAGAAGGGGUGCCGAACGGGUGCAUAGCCCGGACGGUUUCAACAAAGAGGCCGCGGCGACUGUUUAACAAAAACAUAGCUCUCUGCUAACUCGCAAGAGGAUGUAUAGGGAGUGACACGUGACCAAUGCCGAAAGGUCAAUCGGAUCCGUUAGCAGAAAUGCGAAGCGGUGAUGUGAAGCCCCGGUGAAUGUCGGCCGUAACUAUAACGGUCCUAAGGUAGCGAAAUUCCUUGUCGGGUAAGUUCCGACCUGCACGAAUCGUGUAACGAUCGCGGCACUGUCUCGAAGUGGAGCUCGGCGAAGUUGUAAUUCCGGUGAAAAUGCCGGAUACCUGCAGUAGGACGGAAAGACCCUGUGAACCUUUACUGUAAUCUGAUAUUGGCAUUCGGGUGUUAAUGUGUAGGAUAGGUGGGAGACUGUGAAGCAGACGCGCUAGCCUCUGUGGAGUCAACGGUGAAAUACCACCCUUUAUAACUUGAAUGUCUAACCUCAGCCCGUGAAUCCGGGCGGGAGACAGUGUCAGAGGGUCAGUUUGACUGGGGCGGUUUCCUCCAAAAUUGUAACGGAGGAGCACGAAGGUACACUCAGAGCGGUUGGCAAUCGUUCGAAGAGCGUAAGGGUAUAAGUGUGCUUAACUGCGAGACAGACACGUCGAGCAGAUACGAAAGUAGGUCCUAGUGAUCCAGCGAUAGAACGUGGAAUCGUCGUUGCUCAACGGACAAAAGGUACUCCGGGGAUAACAGGCUGAUAGCGUCCAAGCGUCCAUAGCGAC
rnacentral:rRNA from 1 species